AGAGUUUGAUCAUGGCUCAGGAUGAACGCUAGCGGCAGGCUUAACACAUGCAAGUCGAACGGUAAGGAUCACUUCGGUGGUUACACGAGUGGCGCACGGGUGCGUAACGCGUAUGCAACCUACCUUUAACAUGAGGAUAGCUCUGAGAAAUCGGGUUAAUACUCAAUAUCAUUCUCAUGAAGCAUUUCAUGAGGAUAAAAGUUCCGGCGGUUAGAGAUGGGCAUGCGUGACAUUAGCUAGUUGGUAUGGUAACGGCAUACCAAGGCGACGAUGUCUAGGGGUUCUGAGAGGAUUAUCCCCCACACUGGUACUGAGACACGGACCAGACUCCUACGGGAGGCAGCAGUGAGGAAUAUUGGUCAAUGGACGCAAGUCUGAACCAGCCAUGCCGCGUGCAGGAUUGACAGCCUAUGGGUUUUAAACUGCUUUUACAUGGGAAGAAACGCCUUUAUUUAUAGAGGUUUGACGUAACCAUGAGAAUAAGCACCGGCUAACUCCGUGCCAGCAGCCGCGGUAAUACGGAGGGUGCAAGCGUUAUCCGGAUUUAUUGGGUUUAAAGGGUGCGUAGGCGGGUAAAUAAGUCAGUGGUGAAAUCUUGCGGCUUAACCGUAAAACUGCCAUUGAUACUGUUUAUCUUGAGUACAUUUGAAGUAGGCGGAAUAUAGUAUGUAGCGGUGAAAUGCAUAGAUAUACUAUAGAACACCGAUUGCGAAGGCNNCUUACUAAACUGUAACUGACGCUGAUGCACGAAAGCGUGGGUAGCGAACAGGAUUAGAUACCCUGGUAGUCCACGCAGUAAACGAUGAUUACUCGAUGUUGGUAAUACACAUUCAGCAUCUGAAGGUGCUGCAUGGUUGUCGUCAGCUCGUGCCGUGAGGUGUCGGGUUAAGUCCCAUAACGAGCGCAACCCUUAUUCUUAGUUGCCAUCAGGUAAAGCUGGGGACUCUAGAAAACUGCCGGCGUAAGCCGUGAGNAAGGUGGGGAUGACGUCAAAUCAGCACGGCCCUUAUGUCCAGGGCUACACACGCGCUACAAUGGUCGAUACAAAGGGCAGCUACACAGCGAUGUGAUGCAAAUCUCAAAUUCGAUCUUAGUUCGGAUCGAAGUCUGCAAUUCGACUUCGUGAAGUUGGAUUCGCUAGUAAUCGCGCAUCGGCAAUGGCGCGGUGAAUAUGUUCCCGGGCCUUGUACACACCGCCCGUCAAGCCAUGGAAGCUGAGGGUACCUAAAGUUUGUGAUUUGCUAUUUAGCGGAAGCGACC
rnacentral:rRNA from 1 species